UUCUUCUCUGAUAACGAGCUCUGUCUCUCCCGCUGUAUUUGAGACCUGCUCUGUAUAUGCUGUGGAGAAAAUAAGGGAACUAAUCAGGAAAAAAUAAGGAAAGCAGGUUCUAAGUGUGGAGCUAGACCUUUGGCUCUGGUCUGUAGGUGUACAAUGUUCUGCUCUACAACACCAUCGGACUCUUUCAAUUUACUAUUGACUGGAAAAUAUAAGACGGUUGUCAUUUCGCUGUGCAUUGACCUUCUGAGUUCAAAAGUUUAGCUUGAGAAUGAGAAAGCUUAUUAGGACUAGAUUUAUAUGAAUCAAAUUGACUUUAUUUAUAAAGUAGUUUUUUUUAAGAUGUUAUACAAAAUUCUUCCUUCUAGAUUUAUAUGAAUCAAAUUGACUAUAGUUAUAAAGUAGUUAUUUUUAAGUUGUUU